rnacentral:rRNA from 1 species
GUGAGGAAUAUUGCGCAAUGGAGGCAACUCUGACGCAGCCAUGCCGCGUGCAGGAAGAAGGCGCUACGCGUUGUAAACUGCUUUUAACCGGGAAGAAACCCCAGGACGUGUGCUGGGUUGACGGUACCGGAGGAAUAAGCACCGGCUAACUUCGUGCCAGCAGCCGCGGUAAUACGAAGGGUGCAAGCGUUAUCCGGAUUCAUUGGGUUUAAAGGGUGCGUAGGCGGAGCGUUAAGUCAGUGGUGAAAUCCUGCAGCUUAACUGUAGACUUGCCAUUGAUACUGGCGCUCUUGAGUGCGCUUGAAGUGGGCGGAAUGUGCCGUGUAGCGGUGAAAUGCUUAGAUAUGGCACAGAACACCAAUUGCGAAGGCAGCUCACUAAGGCGAUACUGACGCUGAGGCACGAAAGCGUGGGGAUCGAACAGGAUUAGAAACCCUGGUAGUCC